UACGGAGGGUGCAAGCGUUGUUCGGAAUCACUGGGCGUAAAGGGCGCGUAGGCGGCCCUCCUUGUCGGGUGUGAAAGCCCCGGGCUCAACCUGGGAACGGCGCGCGAGACGGGGGGGCUGGAGUUCGGGAGAGGAGCGUGGAAUUCCCAGUGUAGAGGUGAAAUUCGUAGAUAUUGGGAAGAACACCGGUGGCGAAGGCGGCGCUCUGGACCGAGACUGACGCUGAGGCGCGAAAGCGUGGGGAGCAAACAGG
rnacentral:rRNA from 1 species